GUGCCAGCAGCCGCGGUAAUACAGAGGUCUCAAGCGUUGUUCGGAUUCAUUGGGCGUAAAGGGUGCGUAGGCGGCAGGGUAAGUCUGGUGUGAAAUCCCGGGGCUCAACCCCGGAACUGCACUGGAUACUGCUUUGCUAGAGUACUGGAGAGGGAACUGGAAUUUACGGUGUAGCAGUGAAAUGCGUAGAUAUCGUAAGGAAGACCAGUGGCGAAGGCGAGUUCCUGGACAGUAACUGACGCUGAGGCACGAAGGCCAGGGGAGCAAACGGGAUUAGAAACCCUGGUAGUCC
rnacentral:rRNA from 1 species